GUCAGUCCUUUUGGUUCAUCAGUGGAAGGGGUGACACAUUCAAGGACUACUUUUUGUCACUCACAGUACGGAUAGAUGUUCGGAUUACGUGCUCUCUGAUCGCGACAGGAGCGAUCGCAGGGCUUGGCAAAGUCUACCGGACUUCCGGUAGUCGUCGAGUGGAGCAACGCUACGCAUGGUAUUACAAUUACAAAAUUCUGGGUUGACAAACACCCAAACACCUCAUUAAAAAGGACAACACAACGCGAAGAAAUACAACCUGGUUCGAACACUUCAAAUUUCACCCACCAAACCUGCCAAAGCCCUAUUUUAGGGCUUUAGUAAAACCGAACGAAGCACGAGGCACAAGUUUAUUGUCAGGGACGUGGAAAAUACCAGGAAAGAGAAAUCCGGACAUGCGAAACCGCCGAACAAUACAAGUGUCAACAAUUCCGCAUUCCAAAGAAUGCCAAAGGCCAGGCUGUGGCAAAGGCCACAGCCUGCUUCCGGUGGCCGUGCAAUCCAUCUCCCUUUUGUCCGGUAUAAAAAGGCCGAUCAUAAUUGGGCCAAAUGAAGAUGCCCAAGAUGGCCCAAGAAGAUCCAGCCGCCGUUUUAUGGUUAGAGCUACCAGAAAGCCAUUAUUGGUUAUGUUUCACGCACCUAGCAUUAUUCCAGGUGGCGCGACUCAUCGUGUUGUUUUUUCGGCCACAUAUGAGCCGUACUGACGAUAAACCUUUGCUCUGAUGUUGGAGACGAGCUGAAGAAAAUUGGCAGAACAAACGCGCGCCUAGUAAAAUAUUUCCCGGCAGCACGAGAAGAAGAGUUCCGGCUCCGCGAGCCGGUAUUUUUGGAAGAGAGCCGAAGAAGAUUGGCUCAAUCAACGCGCGCCUAAGAAAGGACUUUCCGGCAGCGCAAUAAGAAACGUUUUAUGACCACAAGUGCCGCAAUAUAAUUGUUAUUUUGUGAAGGAAGUCGGGGAGUUGUGCUCAAGCAACGCACAACCAAGGUCAGUACUGGCGGCGCGAAUCAUUGCUAUUAUCUGGCCACCAGAGCCGCACAGAUGAUGCGUUGCUGUUAACACGAUUCGAAGAAGUUGAGCUCAAUUAAUGCGCUCUCUUUUCGCGUGUCUGGGAAACAGAUUCCCGGUUGCGCGACCACCCGGGAAAGAAGAAGUGUUUGUUCGUUUGCCGGCUCGCAGUGCCCAAGGGAGUUUAAAUCUCGCGUGAGCUUUCAUUAAGUCGAAUGAAACAGAAACACCGAACCGAGAAAAACGCUUCUGAAAUUUGAAGAGUGUUUUUCAAAUCCUAUUUUCAUUCCUUCGCCGAUAACCCUUAAAAAAAUAGGCAAUAUUCAUGGAAACUAAUUGUGUCAGAUAUUCCACAUUAUGAAUUUAAUUUUUUGCAAUUUUUAGAGCUAUUUUUUAAUCAUAUAGGAACAUACGACAUAUUCAAACAUAAAUCGUUCAUACGUCUGAACACAUUCGUCGUUUGGAGGGGAAAUUUGUUUCAUUCGUCUCUUUUCUUUCGUCCUUUGAUUCGUUCAACUUGCACUUACGCCCAAAUGUUUCUGAUGCAAAUACUAUGGGAAAUUUUCAAUUUUCUCGGCGUAGUGGCUGUUUAAUAAGUGAAAU